GAUAACGUCCGGAAACGGGCGCUAAUACCGCAUACGUCCUGAGGGAGAAAGUGGGGGAUCUUCGGACCUCACGCUAUCAGAUGAGCCUAGGUCGGAUUAACUAGUUGGUGGGGUAAAGGCCUACCAAGGCGACGAUCCGUAACUGGUCUGAGAGGAUGAUCAGUCACACUGGAACUGAGACACGGUCCAGACUCCUACGGGAGGCAGCAGUGGGGAAUAUUGGACAAUGGGCGAAAGCCUGAUCCAGCCAUGCCGCGUGUGUGAAGAAGGUCUUCGGAUUGUAAAGCACUUUAAGUUGGGAGGAAGGGCAGUAAGUUAAUACCUUGCUGUUUUGACGUUACCAACAGAAUAAGCACCGGCUAACUUCGUGCCAGCAGCCGCGGUAAUACAAAGGGUGCAAGCGUUAAUCGGAAUUACUGGGCGUAAAGCGCGCGUAGGUGGUUCAGCAAGUUGGAUGUGAAAUCCCCGGGCUCAACCUGGGAACUGCAUCC
rnacentral:rRNA from 2 species